rnacentral:rRNA from 1 species
UACGGAGGGUGCAAGCGUUACUCGGAAUUACUGGGCGUAAAGCGUGCGUGGGUGGUUCGUUAAGUCUGAUGUGAAAGCCCUGGGCUCAACCUGGGAAUGGCAUUGGAAACUGGCGACCUAGAGUGCGGUAGAGGGCAGUGGAAUUCCCGGUGUAGCAGUGAAAUGCGUAGAGAUCGGGAGGAACAUCUGUGGCGAAGGCGACUGCCUGGACCAGCACUGACACUGAGGCACGAAAGCGUGGGGAGCAAACAGG